rnacentral:rRNA from 1 species
GACGAACGCUGGCGGCGUGCUUAACACAUGCAAGUCGAGCGGUAAGGCCUCUUCGGGGGUACACGAGCGGCGAACGGGUGAGUAACACGUGAGCAACCUACCCUUCACUUCGGGAUAAGCCUCGGAAACGGGGUCUAAUACCGGAUAUCACUCACUGCUUCAUGGUGGUGGGUUGAAAGUUCUGGCGGUGGGGGAUGGGCUCGCGGCCUAUCAGCUUGUUGGUGGGGUAAUGGCCUACCAAGGCGUCGACGGGUAGCCGGCCUGAGAGGGCGACCGG